GCCCUGGUGGUGCAAUGGUUAAGCACUUGGCUGCUAACCAAAAGGUUGAUGGUUCGAACCUACCCAGAGGUU
rnacentral:tRNA from 1 species